rnacentral:rRNA from 1 species
GCCAUCAGCCAUAUCACCCUGCAACUCACAACCUGCUAAAGCUAAGCAGGUGUGAGCCUGGUCAGUACCUGGAUGGGAGACCUCCUGAAAAAACACAAAGGUUGCUGCUAGAA